AAUUCUUCAAUCAGACAGGAAAAUAAAAGUGAAGGAAUAAAAAUCUAGGAUCUAACGUAAGGUUAGAUCUAGUAAAAGAUACACAAUAGUUUCUGGUGUAGAAACUAUUGUGCGAAAAAUUAAUUAAGUGCUUAAAAGGAUUGCUGGAAAAGAAAAUAGAAAUUGCAAAGGAAAAUAAAUAAAGACUGUAAAAAAAAUAAUGAUGUAAAGUUAUGCAUGUACUGCUGGAAGAGAAAAAGCACGAAAAGGAGAG
rnacentral:lncRNA from 1 species